CUCCACCAGCCCAGAGCACUGGCCUCUGCUACCACAUUGGGGUCUAAUGCGUUAUACAAAAGAUACAACGUUUCCAUCUUUUUUUUAAGGCUGAGGAAUAGGGAAUAAGGAUUUAAUGAACAACUUCAACCAUCUUACCUAACUGGGGCUAGGAGAUACUUUGGGAGUGGAGACGCUGUGUGGACUCUGCUGAGGCUCUGAAAUUACAUGGCAUCUCUGUCCCUCUUUCACGUUCCCCACCCAAGAAAAGACAGAAUACUUAAGAAAAAAAAAAAGAAAAACAGAAGGGGGACGCUGCAAGCCAGAGACAACUGAAUUAACUUUAUUCUCUUC